GCUUUGCAAACCGCAGUCCCAUGUGUCCAGCAGAAAGCACAGGCUGUGGUCAUCCUUCUGGGAAAGCGUCUUCGGGAGGUUUGAGUGCUCUUGGAUUUCCUGACCUCAUUGCAGAUAGAAGUAUUUUUCUGUCAGGAGCGAUUCAUCAUUCAGCCGGGAAGCUUGGAACUCAAUCUGUAUUAUUAUUAUUAUCAG